rnacentral:rRNA from 1 species
AUGGAGGCGACCAAAUUCACUCGGCAAACGGUUCUGGACUUGAGAACAAGGAGAAUCAUUCUUAGAGGACGGUGCAUGGGAGGCCUCUACCCACUCAUAUCAUCAUCAUCAUCUUCAUGGUCCAAUAAACAAGCAAAUAUUUUCACCAAGCUUUCAUCAUCAAGGUGGCAUAGUCGCUUGGGUCAUCCAUCUUUAGUCAUAGUUAAAUAUGUUCUUAGCAAAAAUAAACUCGCUUAUGAGCCUAGUGUUGAGUCAGUUUGUGAUCCAUGUCAACAAGCAAAAAGUCAUCAAUUACCUUACCCUAUUUCUACUAGUGUGUCCACUGCCUUACUACAACUUAUCUUUUCAGAUGUAUGGGUC